rfam:Anaeromyces robustus strain S4 BCR32scaffold_158, whole genome shotgun sequence.
GGGAAGUUGGCCGAGUGGUUAAGGCGGUGAAAAUUGUUAAAUAUGACUUGUUGAAAGUCAUUCACAGCAAAAAUAAUAACAAAUAAUUUAUUUCCGAAAUGUUCGUGAGUUCGAAUCUCACACUUCCCA